GCCGCUCCAGGGCCCCGCUUGAGAAAUGUUUCGGUCCUAGAGAUUCCGCCCCAAUUUUAAACAUCUGUUGGUGAUUGUGGAAAAUACGGUUGGGAUUGUUUCGGUCACAGCCUGUGAAAGCUGCCGUUGUGCUGUGCUUUAAAGCCUCGGUGAUGGAUAUUUCACACUCUGACUCAAGUGGGCAGCGCCGGCCCUGACCCAUGUCAACAGGGUCCCACCUGCCGCUCAGCUUGCGGCUCCAGCUCUCCUUAGAGGUGGGUCCUGAGAACCCAGGAAGAUGUGAGUCUGGGAGCCCUCCAGCAGCUCAGUCCCCUUCCGUCCUGUCCUGAGAUCAAGCGAGGCCAGUCUGGAGUCCCAUUUCCUCAGGACAGUGGACACAGUGAAUCUGAGGGAAGUGGCAUUACAGGAACUGAAGGGAUGGGACCCUUUACUUCUGACAUCACACUCACAGUGAGGCUGAAGGAGGCAGUAAAGAGAGAGCAACAAGGCCGAGAGAGGAGCCUGUGCCUUGGCCUGGCUGCGUGGGACACAGCCUUCUCUGGGGCCUCUGUUUGCGCCCCUUGGUCCGGGGUGUGGGCCCUGCUCCCGGCUCCAGCACUGCUGGCCUGAGUCCUGGCUGCGGCUGAUGGACACGACAGCAGCCAGGGGUGGGAGCUCCUUUGGAUGGAUUAAAACAUGGACCUGUAACUUGAGUCACAUCUUUAGUUUGUAGCAAACUUCUGAAGUCAACCGCACUCCUGGGAGCGAGGCCUCUUUUCUGGUGCAGAAUCUGCCUUUGUGGAAAGAAAAAUAAAGCCAUUUUGUUUGUUUCA